rnacentral:rRNA from 1 species
AGAAUCAACGCUGGCGGCGUGCCUAACACAUGCAAGUCGAACGCGGUUACCCUCUGUUUCGCAAGAGAUAGUGGGUGACUGAGUGGCGAACGGGUGAGUAACACGUGGGUGACCUACCUUCGAAUGGGGGAUAACGUCCCGAAAGGGACGCUAAUACCGCAUAACAUCCUGCCUUUGAACAGGCGGAGAUCAAAGCCGGGGAUCGCAAGACCUGGCGUUUGAAGAGGGGCCCGCGUCCGAUUAGCUAGUUGGUGAGGUAACGGCUCACCAAGGCGACGAU